rnacentral:tRNA from 1 species
AGCGUGAGGUCGGAAGUUCAAGUCUUCCCAGGCCCACCAUUUUGAUCGAGUGCGGAGCAUUCGUCUUCUGGUACGGGGCCAUAGCUCAGCUGGGAGAGCGCGUGCUUUGCAAGCAUGAGGUCGUCGGUUCGAUCCCGUCUGGCUCCACCAGAUGGAAUUGAAGCUCGAUAGCGCCUCGUUCAUUUCGUCCGCGAAACAUCACUUCGCACUCAUUGGUCCGGAUGGACGGUGACGUGCGUGUUUUCUGACAUCGUAAAGAGGAGAUCGAUCCGAGUUUGGAUCAAGCGAAGCAAUUCGCCUGAGCCAUUCAUUAUCUCCGGGAUCAUUUCGGCGCUCGCUUCAAUCGUGAGAUUGGAUGCGGGUUGUAAAUGAUCCCUUUUAGCGAAGCUUGACCGCCUCGCUAUCGGGCCGAUCUUACGAAGCAAGCUGGUCUUUCUAGUCGAUGUCCGGCUGCGCAAUCGCAUUCAUCGAGGAUGCGUGCCUGAGACUUCGGUCUUCGGGCAGUUGUGCAGACAACAUUCUGCCGAGUGUGUGGACAUUGAUAAUGAGAGC